AAUAGAUACCCUGGUAGUCCACGCCGUAAACGAUGAGUGCUAAGUGUUAGAGGGUUUCCGCCCUUUAGUGCUGCAGCUAACGCAUUAAGCACUCCGCCUGGGGAGUACGGCCGCAAGGCUGAAACUCAAAGGAAUUGACGGGGGCCCGCACAAGCGGUGGAGCAUGUGGUUUAAUUCGAAGCAACGCGAAGAACCUUACCAGGUCUUGACAUCCUCUGCCAACCCUAGAGAUAGGGCGUUCCCCUUCGGGGGGACAGAGUGACAGGUGGUGCAUGGUUGUCGUCAGCUCGUGUCGUGAGAUGUUGGGUUAAGUCCCGCAACGAGCGCAACCCUUGAUCUUAGUUGCCAGCAUUCAGUUGGGCACUCUAAGGUGACUGCCGGUGACAAACCGGAGGAAGGUGGGGAUGACGUCAAAUCAUCAUGCCCCUUAUGACCUGGGCUACACACGUGCUACAAUGGAUGGUACAAAGAGCUGCGAACCCGCGAGGGUAAGCCAAUCUCAUAAAGCCAUUCUCAGUUCGGAUUGUAGGC
rnacentral:rRNA from 1 species